UGCGCAGGUGGGCUUGUAGGUCAGUGGUGAAAUACUGCCGCUUAACGGUAGAACUGCCAUUGAUACUGCAAGUCUUGAGUAUGGUUGAGGUAGGCGGAAUGUGUUGUGUAGCGGUGAAAUGCAUAGAUAUGACACAGAACUCCAAUUGCGAAGGCAGCUUACUAAGCCAUUACUGACGCUGAGGCACGAAAGCGUGGGGAGCGAACAGGAUUAGAUACCCUGGUAGUCC
rnacentral:rRNA from 1 species